GGUAUCCUACGGGGGGCAGCAGUGAGGAAUAUUGGUCAAUGGUCGGGAGACUGAACCAGCCAAGCCGCGUGAGGGAUGAAGGUACAGAGUAUCGUAAACCUCUUUUGUCAGGGAACAAAGGCGGGGACGUGUCCCCGGAUGAGUGUACCUGAAGAAAAAGCAUCGGCUAACUCCGUGCCAGCAGCCGCGGUAAUACGGAGGAUGCGAGCGUUAUCCGGAAUUACUGGGUGUAAAGGGAGCGUAGACGGUGAAGUAAGUCUGGAGUGAAAGGCGGGGGCCCAACCCCCGGACUGCUCUGGAAACUA
rnacentral:rRNA from 1 species